CCUACGGGUGGCAGCAGUGGGGAAUAUUGCACAAUGGGGGAAACCCUGAUGCAGCAACGCCGCGUGAGUGAAGAAGGAUUUCGGUAUGUAAAGCUCUAUCAGCAGGGAAGAAGAUGACGGUACCGGACCAAGAAGACACGGCUAACUACGUGCCAGCAGCCGCGGUAAUACGUAGGGGGCAAGCGUUAUCCGGAUUUACUGGGGGUAAAGGGAGCGCAGCCGGCAGUGCAAGUCUGGAGUGAAAGCCCGGGGCCCACCCCCGGAACUGCUCUGGAAACUGUGCGGCUAGAGUACUGGAGGGGCCGGCGGAAUUCCUAGUGUAGCGGUUAAAUGCGUAGAUAUUAGGCGG
rnacentral:rRNA from 1 species